GCCACACCUGACUUCCAUUUACCAUCAAGCUCAGUAUAAGAAACCCGGCUCUCCGGUCUCUCAUCACCAGAUUGUUUCCGCUCUCUACGUGCACCUACAUAGGCUGAGCCUGCCUCCUGCUGAUCUGCUGCCAUUGCCUGGCACAAAUUCCCCACCACCAGAUGCCAUCUGCUUCCACCAGGAUAACCACCUCACCACCUUGUUUUACUCACUUCACUUGCAAGUACUGGGAUAAAAUAAAACUAGAUACUCCAA